MGAUCCUGGCUCAGAACGAACGCUGGCGGCAGGCUUAACACAUGCAAGUCGAGCGCCCCGCAAGGGGAGCGGCAGACGGGUGAGUAACGCGUGGGAACGUGCCUUUUGGUUCGGAACAACUCCGGGAAACUGGAGCUAAUACCGGAUAAGCCCUUCGGGGGAAAGAUUUAUCGCCAAAAGAUCGGCCCGCGUCUGAUUAGCUAGUUGGUGAGGUAAUGGCUCACCAAGGCGACGAUCAGUAGCUGGUCUGAGAGGAUGAUCAGCCACACUGGGACUGAGACACGGCCCAGACUCCUACGGGAGGCAGCAGUGGGGAAUAUUGGACAAUGGGCGCAAGCCUGAUCCAGCCAUGCCGCGUGAGUGAUGAAGGCCUUAGGGUUGUAAAGCU
rnacentral:rRNA from 1 species